rnacentral:rRNA from 1 species
GACGAACCGAGCGAACGUUAUUCGGAAUCACUGGGCUUAAAGGGCGCGUAGGCGGACCGUCAAGUCAGGGGUGAAAUCCUGGAGCUCAACUCCAGAACUGCCUUUGAUACUGGCGAUCUUGAGUCCGGGAGAGGUGAGUGGAACUGCGAGUGUAGAGGUGAAAUUCGUAGAUAUUCGCAAGAACACCAGUGGCGAAGGCGGCUCACUGGCCCGGUACUGACGCUGAGGUGCGAAAGCGUGGGGAGCAAACAGGG